UUAAGCGACUAAGCGUACACGGUGGAUGCCCUGGCAGUCAGAGGCGAUGAAGGACGUGCUAAUCUGCGAUAAGCGUCGGUAAGGUGAUAUGAACCGUUAUAACCGGCGAUUUCCGAAUGGGGAAACCCAGUGUGUUUCGACACACUAUCAUUAACUGAAUCCAUAGGUUAAUGAGGCGAACCGGGGGAACUGAAACAUCUAAGUACCCCGAGGAAAAGAAAUCAACCGAGAUUCCCCCAGUAGCGGCGAGCGAACGGGGAGCAGCCCAGAGCCUGAAUCAGUGUGUGUGUUAGUGGAAGCGUCUGGAAAGGCGCGCGAUACAGGGUGACAGCCCCGUACACAAAAAUGCACAUGCUGUGAGCUCGAUGAGUAGGGCGGGACACGUGGUAUCCUGUCUGAAUAUGGGGGGACCAUCCUCCAAGGCUAAAUACUCCUGACUGACCGAUAGUGAACCAGUACCGUGAGGGAAAGGCGAAAAGAACCCCGGCGAGGGGAGUGAAAAAGAACCUGAAACCGUGUACGUACAAGCAGUGGGAGCACGCUUAGGCGUGUGACUGCGUACCUUUUGUAUAAUGGGUCAGCGACUUAUAUUCUGUAGCAAGGUUAACCGAAUAGGGGAGCCGAAGGGAAACCGAGUCUUAACUGGGCGUUAAGUUGCAGGGUAUAGACCCGAAACCCGGUGAUCUAGCCAUGGGCAGGUUGAAGGUUGGGUAACACUAACUGGAGGACCGAACCGACUAAUGUUGAAAAAUUAGCGGAUGACUUGUGGCUGGGGGUGAAAGGCCAAUCAAACCGGGAGAUAGCUGGUUCUCCCCGAAAGCUAUUUAGGUAGCGCCUCGUGAAUUCAUCUCCGGGGGUAGAGCACUGUUUCGGCAAGGGGGUCAUCCCGACUUACCAACCCGAUGCAAACUGCGAAUACCGGAGAAUGUUAUCACGGGAGACACACGGCGGGUGCUAACGUCCGUCGUGAAGAGGGAAACAACCCAGACCGCCAGCUAAGGUCCCAAAGUCAUGGUUAAGUGGGAAACGAUGUGGGAAGGCCCAGACAGCCAGGAUGUUGGCUUAGAAGCAGCCAUCAUUUAAAGAAAGCGUAAUAGCUCACUGGUCGAGUCGGCCUGCGCGGAAGAUGUAACGGGGCUAAACCAUGCACCGAAGCUGCGGCAGCGACGCUUAUGCGUUGUUGGGUAGGGGAGCGUUCUGUAAGCCUGCGAAGGUGUGCUGUGAGGCAUGCUGGAGGUAUCAGAAGUGCGAAUGCUGACAUAAGUAACGAUAAAGCGGGUGAAAAGCCCGCUCGCCGGAAGACCAAGGGUUCCUGUCCAACGUUAAUCGGGGCAGGGUGAGUCGACCCCUAAGGCGAGGCCGAAAGGCGUAGUCGAUGGGAAACAGGUUAAUAUUCCUGUACUUGGUGUUACUGCGAAGGGGGGACGGAGAAGGCUAUGUUGGCCGGGCGACGGUUGUCCCGGUUUAAGCGUGUAGGCUGGUUUUCCAGGCAAAUCCGGAAAAUCAAGGCUGAGGCGUGAUGACGAGGCACUACGGUGCUGAAGCAACAAAUGCCCUGCUUCCAGGAAAAGCCUCUAAGCAUCAGGUAACAUCAAAUCGUACCCCAAACCGACACAGGUGGUCAGGUAGAGAAUACCAAGGCGCUUGAGAGAACUCGGGUGAAGGAACUAGGCAAAAUGGUGCCGUAACUUCGGGAGAAGGCACGCUGAUAUGUAGGUGAAGUCCCUCGCGGAUGGAGCUGAAAUCAGUCGAAGAUACCAGCUGGCUGCAACUGUUUAUUAAAAACACAGCACUGUGCAAACACGAAAGUGGACGUAUACGGUGUGACGCCUGCCCGGUGCCGGAAGGUUAAUUGAUGGGGUUAGCGCAAGCGAAGCUCUUGAUCGAAGCCCCGGUAAACGGCGGCCGUAACUAUAACGGUCCUAAGGUAGCGAAAUUCCUUGUCGGGUAAGUUCCGACCUGCACGAAUGGCGUAAUGAUGGCCAGGCUGUCUCCACCCGAGACUCAGUGAAAUUGAACUCGCUGUGAAGAUGCAGUGUACCCGCGGCAAGACGGAAAGACCCCGUGAACCUUUACUAUAGCUUGACACUGAACAUUGAGCCUUGAUGUGUAGGAUAGGUGGGAGGCUUUGAAGUGUGGACGCCAGUCUGCAUGGAGCCGACCUUGAAAUACCACCCUUUAAUGUUUGAUGUUCUAACGUUGACCCGUAAUCCGGGUUGCGGACAGUGUCUGGUGGGUAGUUUGACUGGGGCGGUCUCCUCCUAAAGAGUAACGGAGGAGCACGAAGGUUGGCUAAUCCUGGUCGGACAUCAGGAGGUUAGUGCAAUGGCAUAAGCCAGCUUGACUGCGAGCGUGACGGCGCGAGCAGGUGCGAAAGCAGGUCAUAGUGAUCCGGUGGUUCUGAAUGGAAGGGCCAUCGCUCAACGGAUAAAAGGUACUCCGGGGAUAACAGGCUGAUACCGCCCAAGAGUUCAUAUCGACGGCGGUGUUUGGCACCUCGAUGUCGGCUCAUCACAUCCUGGGGCUGAAGUAGGUCCCAAGGGUAUGGCUGUUCGCCAUUUAAAGUGGUACGCGAGCUGGGUUUAGAACGUCGUGAGACAGUUCGGUCCCUAUCUGCCGUGGGCGCUGGAGAAUUGAGGGGGGCUGCUCCUAGUACGAGAGGACCGGAGUGGACGCAUCACUGGUGUUCGGGUUGUCAUGCCAAUGGCACUGCCCGGUAGCUAAAUGCGGAAGAGAUAAGUGCUGAAAGCAUCUAAGCACGAAACUUGCCCCGAGAUGAGUUCUCCCUGACUCCUUGAGAGUCCUGAAGGAACGUUGAAGACGACGACGUUGAUAGGCCGGAUGUGUAAGCGCAGCGAUGCGUUGAGCUAACCGGUACUAAUGAACCGUGAGGCUUAACCUU
rnacentral:rRNA from 1 species